rnacentral:rRNA from 1 species
AUGAAUUUCCUUUCUUGGAACUGUCGGGGUUUGGGAUUGGCCUCGACAGUUGGAGAGUUACGGGACCUGGUUCGGUCUCACAAUCCUGCAGUGGUGUUCCUGUGUGAAACAAAAAAGAAGUCUAGGGCGAUGGAAAGGAUUCGGUGGAGUUUGGGUUUCCAGCAUGGGGUGGCGGUGGAUUGUGAGGGGCAGAGUGGUGGUCUUGCGUUGUGG